rnacentral:misc_RNA from 1 species
GCAAUUUUCAGCCGUCCCUCAAGCCGGAGAACCUGUUGCUGGAUGUUGAGGGACGGCUGAAAAUUGCCGACUUUGGAUGGGCCGUGCAGUCGAAUGCUAAGAGACACACCAUGUGUGGUACGAUCGAUUACCUUGCACCAGAAAUGGUAGAGAAAAAAGAGCAUGAUUAUUCUGUCGAUAAUUGGACUUUAGGCAUUCUUUGCUAUGAGUUUA